GGAUGACCUGUGGAUCGGAGUGAAAGGCUAAUCAAGCUCGGAGAUAGCUGGUUCUCCUCGAAAGCUAUUUAGGUAGCGCCUCAUGUAUCACUGUAGGGGGUAGAGCACUGUUUCGGCUAGGGGGUCAUCCCGACUUACCAAACCGAUGCAAACUCCGAAUACCUACAAGUGCCGAGCAUGGGAGACACACGGCGGGUGCUAACGUCCGUCGUGAAAAGGGAAACAACCCAGACCGUCAGCUAAGGUCCCAAAGUCAUGGUUAAGUGGGAAACGAUGUGGGAAGGCUUAGACAGCUAGGAGGUUGGCUUAGAAGCAGCCACCCUUUAAAGAAAGCGUAAUAGCUCACUAGUCGAGUCGGCCUGCGCGGAAGAUGUAACGGGGCUCAAACCAUGCACCGAAGCUACGGGUAUCAUCUUUUGAUGAUGCGGUAGAGGAGCGUUCUGUAAGCCUGUGAAGGUGAGUUGAGAAGCUUGCUGGAGGUAUCAGAAGUGCGAAUGCUGACAUGAGUAACGACAAUGGGUGUGAAAAACACCCACGCCGAAAGACCAAGGUUUCCUGCGCAACGUUAAUCGACGCAGGGUUAGUCGGUCCCUAAGGCGAGGCUGAAAAGCGUAGUCGAUGGAAAACAGGUUAAUAUUCCUGUACUUCUGGUUAUUGCGAUGGAGGGACGGAGAAGGCUAGGCCAGCCUGGCGUUGGUUGUCCAGGUUUAAGGUGGUAGGCUGAGAUCUUAGGUAAAUCCGGGAUCUUAAGGCCGAGAGCUGAUGACGAGUGUUCUUUUAGAACACGAAGUGGUUGAUGCCAUGCUUCCAAGAAAAGCUUCUAAGCUUCAGGUAACCAGGAACCGUACCCCAAACCGACACAGGUGGUUGGGUAGAGAAUACCAAGGCGCUUGAGAGAACUCGGGUGAAGGAACUAGGCAAAAUGGCACCGUAACUUCGGGAGAAGGUGCGCCGGUGAGGGUGAAGCAUUUACUGCGUAAGCCCACGCCGGUCGAAGAUACCAGGCCGCUGCGACUGUUUAUUAAAAACACAGCACUCUGCAAACACGAAAGUGGACGUAUAGGGUGUGACGCCUGCCCGGUGCCGGAAGGUUAAUUGAUGGGGUUAGCGCAAGCGAAGCUCUUGAUCGAAGCCCCGGUAAACGGCGGCCGUAACUAUAACGGUCCUAAGGUAGCGAAAUUCCUUGUCGGGUAAGUUCCGACCUGCACGAAUGGCGUAACGAUGGCGGCGCUGUCUCCACCCGAGACUCAGUGAAAUUGAAAUCGCUGUGAAGAUGCAGUGUAUCCGCGGCUAGACGGAAAGACCCCGUGAACCUUUACUAUAGCUUUGCACUGGACUUUGAAUUUGCUUGUGUAGGAUAGGUGGGAGGCUUUGAAGCGUGGACGCCAGUUCGCGUGGAGCCAACCUUGAAAUACCACCCUGGCAACUUUGAGGUUCUAACUCAGGUCCGUUAUCCGGAUCGAGGACAGUGUAUGGUGGGUAGUUUGACUGGGGCGGUCUCCUCCUAAAGAGUAACGGAGGAGUACGAAGGUGCGCUCAGACCGGUCGGAAAUCGGUCGUAGAGUAUAAAGGCAAAAGCGCGCUUGACUGCGAGACAGACACGUCGAGCAGGUACGAAAGUAGGUCUUAGUGAUCCGGUGGUUCUGUAUGGAAGGGCCAUCGCUCAACGGAUAAAAGGUACUCCGGGGAUAACAGGCUGAUACCGCCCAAGAGUUCAUAUCGACGGCGGUGUUUGGCACCUCGAUGUCGGCUCAUCACAUCCUGGGGCUGAAGCCGGUCCCAAGGGUAUGGCUGUUCGCCAUUUAAAGUGGUACGCGAGCUGGGUUUAGAACGUCGUGAGACAGUUCGGUCCCUAUCUGCCGUGGACGUUUGAGAUUUGAGAGGGGCUGCUCCUAGUACGAGAGGACCGGAGUGGACGAACCUCUGGUGUUCCGGUUGUCACGCCAGUGGCAUUGCCGGGUAGCUAUGUUCGGAAAAGAUAACCGCUGAAAGCAUCUAAGCGGGAAACUUGCCUCAAGAUGAGAUCUCACUGGAACCUUGA
rnacentral:rRNA from 1 species